rnacentral:rRNA from 1 species
GAGUUUGAUCCUGGCUCAGGACGAACGCUGGCGGCGUGCCUAACACAUGCAAGUCGAGCGAUGAAAAUUGGAGCGUUCCCUUCGGGGAACAAUCUGAUUGGAUUAGCGGCGGACGGGUGAGUAACACGUGAGUAACCUGCCGUACACAUUGGGAUAGCCUCGGGAAACUGGGAUUAAUACCAAAUGAAACAUACAGAUAGCAUUAUCUAAAUGUCAAAGAUUUUAUCGGUGUACGAUGGACUCGCGUCUGAUUAGCUAGUUGGUAAGGUAACGGCUUACCAAGGCGAUGAUCAGUAGCCGGCCUGAGAGGGUGAUCGGCCACAUUGGGACUGAGACACGGCCCAAACUCCUACGGGAGGCAGCAGUGGGGAAUAUUGCACAAUGGAGGAAACUCUGAUGCAGCGACGCCGCGUGAGCGAAGAAGGGAUUCGUCUCGUAAAGCUCUGUCCUAUGGGAAGAUAAUGACGGUACCAUAGAAGAAAGCCCCGGCUAACUACGUGCCAGCAGCCGCGGUAAUACGUAGGGGGCUAGCGUUGUCCGGAAUCAUUGGGCGUAAAGGGUUCGUAGGCGGUAAUACAUGUCAGAUGUGAAAUCUUGUGGCUUAACCACAUCAAGCAUCUGAAACUGUAUAACUUGAGUGAAGGAGAGGUAAGUGGAAUUCCUAGUGUAGCGGUGAAAUGCGUAGAUAUUAGGAAGAAUACCAGUAGCGAAGGCGACUUACUGGCCUUUAACUGACGCUGAGGAACGAAAGCGUG